GGUGAACGCUGGCGAUGUGCCUAAUACAUGCAAGUCGAGCGAACAGAUAAGGAGCUUGCUCCUUUGAAGUUAGCGGCGGACGGGUGAGUAACACGUGGGUAACCUACCUAUAAGACUGGGAUAACUUCGGGAAACCGGAGCUAAUACCGGAUAACAUUUAGAACCGCAUGGUUCUAAAGUGAAAGAUGGUUUUGCUAUCACUUAUAGAUGGACCCGCGCCGUAUUAGCUAGUUGGUAAGGUAACGGCUUACCAAGGCGACGAUACGUAGCCGCCCUGAGAGGGUGAUCGGCCACACUGGAACUGAGACACGGUCCAGACUCCUACGGGAGGCAGCAGUAGGGAAUCUUCCGCAAUGGGCGAAAGCCUGACGGAGCAACGCCGCGUGAGUGAUGAAGGGUUUCGGCUCGUAAAACUCUGUUAUUAGGGAAGAACAAAUGUGUAAGUAACUGUGCACAUCUUGACGGUACCUAAUCAGAAAGCCACGGCUAACUACGUGCCAGCAGCCGCAGUAA
rnacentral:rRNA from 1 species